rnacentral:rRNA from 1 species
GAUGAACGCUGGCGGCGUGCCUAAUACAUGCAAGUCGAGCGAACAGACGAGGAGCUUGCUCCUCUGACGUUAGCGGCGGACGGGUGAGUAACACGUGGAUAACCUACCUAUAAGACUGGGAUAACUUCGGGAAACCGGAGCUAAUACCGGAUAACAUGUUGAACCGCAUGGUUCAACAGUGAAAGACGGUCUUGCUGUCACUUAUAGAUGGAUCCGCGCCGCAUUAGCUAGUUGGUAAGGUAACGGCUUACCAAGGCAACGAUGCGUAGCCGACCUGAGAGGGUGAUCGGCCACACUGGAACUGAGACACGGUCCAGACUCCUACGGGAGGCAGCAGUAGGGAAUCUUCCACAAUGGGCGAAAGCCUGACGGAGCAACGCCGCGUGAGUGAAGAAGGUCUUCGGAUCGUAAAACUCUGUUAUUAGGGAAGAACAAAUGUGUAAGUAACUAUGCACGUCUUGACGGUACCUAAUCAGAAAGCCACGGCUAACUACGUG